rnacentral:rRNA from 1 species
CCUACGGGAGGCAGCAGUGGGGAAUAUUGCACAAUGGGGGAAACCCUGAUGCAGCGACGCCGCGUGAGGGAAGAAGGAUUUCGGUAUGUAAAGCUCUAUCAGCAGGGAAGAAGAAAGACGGUACCUGACUAAGAAGCCCCGGCUAACUACGUGCCAGCAGCCGCGGUAAUACGUAGGGGGCAAGCGUUAUCCGGAUUUACUGGGUGUAACGGGAGCGUAGACGGCUGUGCAAGUCUGACGUGAAAGCCCAGGGCUCAACCCUGGGACUGCGUUGGAAACUGUGGAGCUAGAGUGCUGGAGAGGUAAGUGGAAUUCCUAGUGUAGCGGUGAAAUGCGUAGAUAUUAGGAGGAACACCAGUGGCGAAGGCGGCUUACUGGACAGUAACUGACGUUGAGGCUCGAAAGCGUGGGGAGCAAACAGGAUUAGAUACCCCUGUAGUC